rfam:Gallionellales bacterium GWE2_58_10 gwe2_scaffold_6523, whole genome shotgun sequence.
GGAAGCGUGGCCGAGUGGUUUAAGGCAGUGCUCUUGAAAAGCACCGAGGGCUUAUACCCCUCCGUGAGUUCGAAUCUCACCGCUUCCG